GAUGAACGCUAGCGGCAGGCUUAACACAUGCAAGUCGAGGGGUAUAGUAGCAAUACUAGAGACCGGCGCACGGGUGCGUAACGCGUAUGCAACCUACCUUGAACAGGGGAAUAGCCCAGAGAAAUUUGGAUUAAUGUCCCAUAGCGUAUUGAGUUGGCAUCAGCACAAUACUAAAGUCACAACGGUUCAAGAUGGGCAUGCGUCCCAUUAGUUAGUUGGUAAGGUAACGGCUUACCAAGACGAUGAUGGGUAGGGGUCCUGAGAGGGAGAUCCCCCANACUGGUACUGAGACACGGACCAGACUCCUACGGGAGGCAGCAGUGAGGAAUAUUGGUCAAUGGGCGCAAGCCUGAACCAGCCAUGCCGCGUGCAGGAUGAAGCAUCUAUGGUGUGUAAACUGCUUUUUGUACGGGAAGAAACAGCUCUUCGUGAAGAGCCUUGACGGUACCGUAAGAAUAAGGAUCGGCUAACUCCGUGCCAGCAGCCGUACGG
rnacentral:rRNA from 1 species